GAUGAACGCUGGCGGCGUGCCUAAUACAUGCAAGUCGAACGCUGGAAAUCUAGCUUGCUAGAUUGAAGGAGUGGCGAAUGGGUGAGUAAUACAUAAGCAACCUACCCACGAAGACUGGGAUAAUCUCUGGAAACGGGGACUAAUACCGGAUAGGUAAUCGGAAGGCAUCUUCUGAUUAUUAAAGGUUAAAAACACUGGUGGAUGGGCUUAUGGCGCAUUAGUUAGUUGGUGAGGUAACGGCCCACCAAGACGAUGAUGCGUAGCCGGCAUGAGAGGGUGAACGGCCACAUUGGGACUGAGACACGGCCCAGACUCCUACGGGAGGCAGCAGUAGGGAAUUUUCGGCAAUGGGGGAAACCCUGACCGAGCAACGCCGCGUGAGUGAGGACGGCCUUCGGGUUGUAAAGCUCUGUUGUAAGGGAAGAACGGUAGAUAGAGAAUAUCUAAAUGACGGUACCUUACCAGAAAGCCACGGCUAACUACGUG
rnacentral:rRNA from 1 species